rnacentral:rRNA from 1 species
GCGAAGGCAGCUUUCUGGACUAAUACUGACACUGAGGUACGAAAGCGUGGGUAGCAAACAGGAUUAGAUACCCUGGUAGUCCACGCCGUAAACGAUGACAACUAGCCGUUGGGGGGAUUUACCCUUUAGUGGCGAAGCUAACGCGUUAAGUUGUCCGCCUGGGGAGUACGGCCGCAAGGUUAAAACUCAAAGGAAUUGACGGGGACCCGCACAAGCGGUGGAGCAUGUGGUUUAAUUCGAUGCAACGCGAAGAACCUUACCUGGUCUUGACAUACACGGAACUUUCCAGAGAUGGAUUGGUGCCUUCGGGAACCGUGAUACAGGUGCUGCAUGGCUGUCGUCAGCUCGUGUCGUGAGAUGUUGGGUUAAGUCCCGUAACGAGCGCAACCCCUAUCCUUAUUUGCCAGCACAUCAUGGUGGGAACUAUAAGGAGACUGCCGGUGAUAAGCCGGAGGAAGGCGGGGACGACGUCAAGUCAUCAUGGCCCUUACGACCAGGGCUACACACGUGCUACAAUGGGAAGAACAAAGAGUUGCGAAGCCGCGAGGUGUAGCUAAUCUCACAAAUCUUUUCGUAGUCCGGAUCGGAGUCUGCAACUCGACUCCGUGAAGUCGGAAUCGCUAGUAAUCGUAGAUCAGAACGCUACGGUGAAUACGUUCCCGGGUCUUGUACACACCGCCCGUCAUACCAUGGGAGUGGGUUGCACCAGAAGUAGCUAGUCUAAACUGUUUAC